rnacentral:rRNA from 1 species
AGCAGCCGCGGUAAUUCCAGCUCCAAUAGCGUAUAUUAAAGUUGUUGCAGUUAAAAAGCUCGUAGUUGAAUUUCGGGGCCAGUAGUUUGGUCGUGCCACUGGUAUGUACUGGGCUCACUGAUUCCUCCUUCCUGAUGAACUGUAAUGCCAUUAAUUUGGUGUUGCAGGGAAACUGGACUGUUACUUUGAAAAAAUUAGAGUGUUUAAAGCAAGCUAACGCUUGAAUACAUUAGCAUGGAAUAAUGAAAUAGGACGUUCGAUCCUAUUUCGUUGGUUUCUAGGAUUGACGUAAUGAUUAAUAGGGAUAGGUUGGGGGCAUUAGUAUUCAAUUGUCAGAGGUGAAAUUCUUGGAUUUUAUUGAAGACUAACUACUGACGAAAGCAUUUGCCAAGGAUUGUUUUCUAUUAAUCAAGAACGAAAGUUAGGGGAUCGAAGACGAUCAGAUACCGUCGUAGUCUUAACCAUAAACUAUGCCGACUAGGGAUCGGAUGAUGUUUAAUUUUUAAUGACUCAUUCGGCC